AAGUCGUAACAAGGUCUCCGUUGGUGAACCAGCGGAGGGAUCAUUAAAGAGUUGCAAAACUCCCAACCAUUGUGAACGAACUGUAAUGCCCAGCAGGGCGGUGUCUAUCACCCCCGGCCGCGGUAUGAAACUCUUAUUCAGUGAAUCUCUGAGUAGCUUAUUUAAUAAGUAAAAACUUUCAACAACGGAUCUCUUGGUUCUG
rnacentral:misc_RNA from 1 species